GAGGGAGGAUGCCGGGGCUGCGCCCCCCGUGCUGGGCCCGUUCCUGGCGGGCUGUGGCUUAUGGAGCCCCGGCCCUUACCCGUGUGAUGGGCUGCACCUCGCCCGGCCCCAGUGCCUGAGCCACCUCUGUGCACCCACCCCUCGGCUUCCCGGGCCAAGGCACCAGCGCUGCCCACGCGUAACGGGUUUAGUUCUUAAAGCCCCAAUUUUUGGAGGCAUGUGAUUGUACAAGCAUCUGAGCUCUUUAUUACUAUUUUUCCUAGUUUGAUUUUCCCCCAUGCGUUUGGGUAUGGGUAGUUGAGUGUGCUUUCCCAUUUCUUUGAAUUAUUUUUGGUAGUUAUCGCUUUUCCCUCUAAAGAUAAUUGUCUUUGCCUAGCUGAUCUGUACAGCCUAUGUUUUGAAGUAGGUUUAUAGUAGAGGACGUAUUGGACCUGUUCCGAGCAGGCUAAUUCAUGGGAUUGAAACCAUGAAGGAAUCACGCCGUCAGAUGGAGUUUCCGGAGCUGCGGGUGAAGAAGCCGACCACAGUUCAGGGAGAGGAGAUCUGGUCUGUCAGGGAGAGUCCUUACAGUACAGAUGGACAUGCGUAGCAGUAACCAGGGAAGAGAUGAGCACUGCCCCGAGUCCCAUCUUCAGCCGAGGAUAGUUGAGAAGGACCUGAGGGGGGUGCAGGAUGUGUGAGAUCAGGCAGACCCUAACAACGACGUGAGACAGCAGCUGAGCACGUGCAUCCCGACCAGGCACUGCAACCGAAGAUAUCUGAUCAACGGCACCGGGACGUACCAUCACCUGGAGUGGAGCACCCACAGGGACAGCACUCUAAGAAGAACCACAAAAUCCUGUUGAUGAGGUUUGAAAGACUGACUCCUACAGAGCCCUUGUCAGCAUUGGGGUGAUUUCUGUUAAGCUUAUUAGCAUACAUGUAGGUUUUUAUAUAAUUUUCUCUGUAAUGCU